ACUAGUAACCCACACUUUAGUAUUCUCGCGGUGUCGUCCGGUGGUGGUGUUGUCCCGUGGUGUGCCGUACCGCGGUGUGUCGUACGAGGAGACUUCCUCAUUCCAGAAUCGAGCUAUUGUAAAGUCUCCUCCCACCCCAGCUCACCCCUACCUCAUCAUAUGCCCACCUUCCACUUCCUUACUCUCUUCUCUAACUUCGCGAGGCCCAACCGCAUUACUCGAACGAUGCUUAUUUACUUACUUGGUUCGUUCCUUUCGCGGAAAACCAUACUCCUUCCCAAAGCAAUUUUCUUUACUCCCAACGUGUAUUCUCUAUCCCUUGUGUAUCUUAUGGUUUAAAUCCGAGACCUCCAUUAUUCUUGGUGCGACUUCACGCAGCUUUUCGGAGAAACGAACGUUUGAGAUUACCACAAGAGAGUUUCUAACAUUUGCCAUAUCCUAUGAUUUUGCACGCUCUUAUAAGUAUUAAAAUAUGGAAGGAUACUGAUUUUAUUUCACUAUCUCUAAUCAAUUAUUUUUCUACCAAAAGAAACAAAAAAAUAUACUUUUUGUUUUAGAAUCGUAAAACCUUGCCUUGGACUAUCUCCAGCAAUAGCGAACAUUCCUAACGUUUGACGUUGCUUCUAAUAGUAAACACAGAACCUGGCAAAGUUUGAUAGAGAGAGAGAGAGAGAAAGAGAGAGUCUACAGUAGAAUAACAAUAUAAUGCUUAUCUAGCACGCAAAACGAGUGACAUCGAUGAGUACACAUUUCUCACUCCGCAACCUCUUCAUUUUCGUUUAAUCAGUAAUCACUAUUCAUACCAAACGUGAUCACGAUGGCGACAAUGGACACAGUACGUAAUAACAAGCUCGUUAAUUACUUUACUACUGAUGUAUAAAAAUUAAACUCACGUGGGGAAAAAAAAAAAGAAAUAAAAAUAAAAAUUGAAAUUUGCGAAAAAUAAAUUCGAAUGUCUAACGCAAAUGAAAUUUCGCAUGUGGCAAAAGAUAAGGAGACUUUUGUUAAUCAUUUUAACGAAAGAAAUUGAUCGAGAUACGAAUUAGUUCGUAUAAGAUAUAGCAAGCCCAUAUGUUGAUCUAUGUUAUUUGAAGAGCUUAUCACGAAUAAACACAUUGCGCGUUGUCGAGUUUGUUCUCUUGUAUUAUAGUAAAACAAAACGAGGAAUUCUCUAUAACGAUAUAUAUAUAUAUAUAUAUAUAUAUAUAUAUAUAAGUUGAAUGAGACUGAUCAGCGAGAUCUCGUAGAAAUAACGUGAUCCAAAUGCGAUGAUUACAAAAUGUUUUUGCGGUAUUGGGCUUGAAACACGAGUAAAAUGAUAAAACCAUAAUGUCGCCAUAGAGUAUCGUAGUAUUGACAACGUAUACAAGUAAUAGUAAUAGUAGUAGUUAGUAGUAGUAGUAGUGGUAGUAGUAGUAGUAGUAGUAGUAAUAGUAGUAGUAGUAGUUAAGGCACAGGUAGUACGAGGAAAGCAAAGAGUUAAAUGUCAAAGCCUCCCCGCAGCAACAACAGCAAUAAUAGUAACAGUAAUAGCAGCAAAGUAGCUGGGUAAGCAAUAGACAAGUAAAGCAGAAGUAAGGAAGGAAGGCAGGCAAGCAGGCAAGCAAGCAAGCAGGCAGGCAGGCAGGCAGGGAGGCAGACAAGCUAAGCAAGCAAGUAGCGAACGCAUAGAGAGUGCCAUGUUCGAUGAAUAUAAAAAAUUCGAGACCUUGUUCGACUGCAUCUGGGUCAUACAGCGCGUUCGUUCGUAGUCUAACGACGACGCAAGACGUUCUAAGUGGAAAAUGAGUGGCUGCUCACUUGUGCUCAUAAGGUUAAACGAGUGUGGUGCAAGCAGUUCUCGGUGUAACGAUGUUAACGAUGAUCGCAAAGGAGAAGGCAUCUCCAAGUGGAAAGACGUUUAUUGUUCGGUGACAUUGGCAAUGUAACGAACGGAGAUGCGUCGUAAAAUUUUUUGGGAAGAACAAAUUGAAAUUCGAUAAAAACGGCGAUUGAUUAAAAUGAAAAAAAUAACACGAGCAAAAUAAAAUACCAUCGUAUUUCAAUACGAAGUGACAACGCGUUGUGAAAUCGCUUUUAUAUCCAUUUAAAUGUCCGAGUGAAAAUCCCGAUCGUAUCGAACAUAAAAAUCUAAAUAUCUAACAUUGUCCUUAGAAACGAACGAACAGGCUUGAGCUCGCUCAUCGUUCUACGUCGAUCGAAGAUAAUUUAAAUGAUCGUUACUUUACGAGGUAGAAAUAUCGUUGCUAGAAGGUGAAUCUAUUCGAUCGACUCUCCGCAUAGUCUAUCUCUCCUUCCACUGGUUGGAUUUCUUACUUAUUAUUCGUCAGAUUGUGUAACGUUCUCUACAAUAGUGCCAACAUAAGGACCAAUCCGUCUCUGGCUUGCGAAGGUAAAGGAAUACAUCUAUGAGCGGAUAUCACAGUGAAUGUAUAAAUAUCUUCUUUUCGAUCUCGAAUAAAUAUCAGAAUGAAUAGAAAAUUUCGAUUAGCAAACAGUUAAUAAAAAUGAACAUUAUUAUAAUUAACAAUUACGAUUAAUGAUGAAAAUCAAAUUCUCGUUUAUUAGAGAACACGUGAGAAUUCGAAACAAACGGAAAAGGAAAAUCGCGUUCACAAAAGUGUGUCAAAGGUCACACGCAUGAUACUUAUUGUCUAUUCCUUAAUCGUGAUCAUCGUGGGCGCACACUACAGAGUCCUUCGACUGUAAUAUCCAUGUCUCUUGAACACAACGCGCACAGGUGAAACGCUCCAUGUAAAGACGAGAGUGAUAGCUUAUUGUGAUGGAAACAAUGGACACACAGUGAUCGGGAAUUUACAGCUACCUACUCGUUUAUUGCACAUACUAUGUAUUCUACGCUAUAUGUAUACCUACCUGUUCCUCGAUGCUGAAAUAGUGAAAAUCUUAGCUAGUUGUAAAGCAACUCGCGUUCCAUUUUACGAUAUAUCUUUGAUCGAAUAUUCCUCAUCGUUUCGAUGUUAAAAGAAAGAAAAAGUAGUUCGAGUAGAACGUGAACGAUGACGACAAUCGGAAAUCAAUGAAAUCAUUAAUAUUCUUUACCGAUAAUAAAAUUGUCAGACUUGUCGAUGAUCGAUCGUCUUAUAAAAUUACUUGUAUAAAUUUCCUAAUUUAUUUUUAACGUUAAUCCCAUAUAACGCCACUUAACUUUCAAUUUAUGCAUUUAAAUAUCUGUAAUGUGGUAAAUUUGAUUUCAUUUUAUAGCUAUACGAAUUUAAUUGUUACUUCAUAUACAAACUUUCCUUUAUUUUGAAAAUAUAAAUUAUACAAUAUAAAUCGAAUAGUAUAAUACAAUUAUACUAAUUCAGAUAGAACGAAUCGAAAGUUUCUAAAUGAUUUUAAAAAACAAUUAUUUCUUUUUCGAAAACAUUUUAGAUAAUGUUUGAUUGCAAAAAUAUUCCUAGACUUGUAAUAUCAUGAUUUGGAAAAAAAAAAAUAAACAAAGAAAAAAAAAAAAAAAAGAUUAGCUCGAAGAAUCUCGAAAAGAAGUAAUUGAUUUUUAACGUGACUUAAUAACUUUCAGCUGGCCUAGGAAUUUUUUUUUUUUUUUUUUUCUUUUUUUCUCUCUCUCUCUUUUUUUUCGACGGCGAAGAUUCAACCCUGUAUAAGUAAUUUAAAUAAGCUUCACGGUAUGGAAUUUUUUUGCUGACACGAAAAAAAUAUUGUUAUUAUAGUAAAUUAAAGGUCUAAGAAUAUGAUAUAUUAUUAAUGAUCAAAACGCAAUAGACUAUUUUAAUAAUGCAAAAAAUCAGAAAGCUGCUUAAAAUAGACAGGAAAUUAUUACGCAGGUGAGUCGACUGAGUGAUGGGGAGGGGAUUGAACGAGGGGUAGUUUUCGAGGUAAAUCUUCAGUUAGUUUAACUGGAAUCGUUCGAAGUGGGUCGUAGUCCUGUUUCCUCUAUUAUCGCGCAUUUACGUCACGUGGCCCAGUUUCCCGCUCGUUUAGAUCGGCUCGGGUUAACUCGUGUCCCUUUCUAUAGAAAGAACUUUACUCUGGGAUGGGAAAAAUAUCCCAUUCGUUUGCCUAUUCUCCGUGUCUUUUCUUAUAUUAUAAAUCACGAUGGCGUUGAUGAAACAAUAUUACUGACAAUGACUUUUAUUCAUUGAAACAGUAUUUUAAAUUAAUGCAAUCAAUAUUUAUAAUAUAACAUAAGUACCACUAAUAAAAAGAGAUGCAAUCCUGACAUUUAAUUAUUUCAUUACUCAAUAAAAAUAUUCAUACAUAGUGAUCAUUUAUUCGUACGAAAUACUUAUCAUCAAUUAAAUAAUAAUAUACCGAUCAAAAGAAAUAAAAAUGUUAAUAAAUGUAUGUUUUAUUUUUUUUUCCUUUCUUUUUUUUUUUUUUUUUUUUUCUUUUUCAUUAACUCUCAUUUACACAUACACACUCUUAUAAUAAUGAUGAUAAGAAUAUUUCAUAGGAAACCAACGAAUCUAGAACAUUGAAAUGUUUUUGGAUCUUUAUAACGUUAAUGCGGAGUACAUAUUGUCUACAGCAGGGUUUACCAAACUUUUAUGGGUUUAUGGGCCAAGACCCACUUUCGAAAACGGUAAUUUAUCGUGACCCACUCGGAAAGUGUAAUUGAUGUCGAAAGUUGAUUGAUAAGCAAUUUAAAAUUUGUCUCGAUAUAAAUUUGCAAAUGGAGAAAGAUCAAACAAAAAUAAUCAUUCUCACAUGAUCCUUUAAAUACGAUCAAUUUUUAUCGAUUGUUCAUACGACGUUUUAUGAUAAUUAAAACAUUUCUAUAUAAUGAACAUGUAAAACUAUUCUCAUAUUUUUAAUAUUUAACGCGAUCCGCACUUUGGGAUCCUCUGUGGUCUAUAGGGGUUUUUUUUUUCUCUUUUAUGUGUGUGUGUAUGUAUGUGUUGCGUGAAAGAGCAUGAGAAGCAAGAAAAGAAAAAAGAAAGAAAAAAAAAAAGAGCCGGAAUAACAGUACGAGUCCUCUGGAAGUCCUGCUGGCGGCCGGCCGGCCUGCCGGCCAUGACCGCUCGAUUAUCGAACCACUCGACCGAUCGAAAUGUCUCCGUUCUCCGGCAAUGACCUUUUCUUCUUCCUUGCCGUUCUUUUUCAUCCUCGUAUGUCCCUGAAUGCACUUGGGAAACGGAUAACGCCAAAGAGUUUAAUAGGAGAAAAGAAAUUUAAUUGUUUUAUUUUUCUUUUUUUCUUCUUUUUUUUUUUUUUAUAUCUAAAAACAAAAUAUGAGAUAUUGUAUAGUAAAGAUGAAAAUUUUGCAUUCUUAAUUUGCAAAAUCGAUCGAUAUUUAUGUUCUAUCAGAUCGAACAUAAAUCGAGAAACAGAGAAGAAGAAGAAGAAGAAGAAGAAGAAGAAGAAGAAGAAGAAAAAGGAAAAGGAGAAGGAGAAGAAGUGACAGAGGAGGAGGAGAAGGAGGAGGAGGAGGAGGAGGGGGAGGAAGAGGAGGACGACGACGAAGAAAAGGAGGGGACUGUAUCGUCGCCAAAGAGGAUGGAGUGGCGCCAAACGGCGUGGAUGCGAUUCGAGUUCUCGGCCGAAUAACAAGUAAAUCAAGCGUGUAAUUGGAAUUCAAUUCGCACAGUGGCACAGAUACAAGGCAUUACGAUUCCAUCGGCAGCAGGCUCGUGCAAGCAAGCAAGCAAGCAAGCAAGCAAGUAAGUAAGUAAGAGAACGAGCAAGUGAGCAAGCAAGCAAGCACGAGUAUAAACGCGUCAAGUAGGGUUCUGUAAUCUACGAGUAAAUCGCCUCUUUACGACGAUAGCCUUUCGUUCUAACGUAUCCAAAGAAAUUGAUACGUGUAAUCUGCCUACGUAUACGGGUAUACGUGUUAACGUGUUUUCGAAUCAUAUCUUUUUGGAUUAUUAUGAUUGCUCAACUAAUACUCGGUUGAGAUCUUAAUUCUCAAAGGAAACAAAAUCUAUGGAUGAGUAAAUAUCAAGCAACACAGUAUUACACAUGGUGAAAUAAAACGAAUUCCUUUUUCGAAGCGGAAAGUGUAGGUAUGCGCUAAUGAACGCUCUCCGAACGAAUCGUUAGGUGGGCGUAAGAAUGCUAGUACGGAUCGUAAAUUAUAAUAAGAAAAUAGAUAGUACAGGGAUUGCUUCUGCAUCGCCAUUGUAGUUCGCGCCGAGUGAAAAGCCACGAGCGUCGUAAUCGACUCGAGACGGAAUUCAAUGUUUCUACCCACGGAAGUGAAGAGAAAAGAAGAAGUUUUGCUCUUCGUUCUGUACACGAAAACGAUAAGAUCAGACUAACAGAGAAAGAGAGAUUUCAAAAAAGAGAAAAAAGAAAUCAAGGAAACAAAAGAAAAAAAAAAGAAGAAGAAGAAGAAAAAGAAAGAAGAAAAUAAAAAACUAAAUGACCGAUCUUUUUGUUCGAACGAAAAAAUCACAUAUUAGAUGUUCAAUCUCUAUCAUCAUUAUUUAACAAUUAAAUCUCCAAUUAUGUGAGAAAAUAUUAGAAUAGACACUGCAAUGCUUUUAAAAUAUUACAUCUUACGAGUUUUCAGGGCCAACGAAUCGUAUUUGAGUCAGACGUUUCCCACAGUGUGAGCUCAAAAGCUCCUUGAUAAUUAAAAAAAUUAAUUUCUCCUUUUCGAGAUUCUUUUACCCUAAUUUGUUUGUUUUUCUUUCUUUCUUUUUCCCCGUCCUCCAUCCCCCAGAUAAUAAAAAUAAAAAUCUAACUUGAGAAACUACAAGCUUAAUUACAAUAAUUAAAAAAUCGCGAGUAAUAAUAAUUGAUUUUUUUAAAUUACAUAAAAACUUUGGCCGACCCAUUGUCUCAAAAAUUUAUAGAAAACGUAUCUACAUUUGAUUUGCUAAUCAUAGCAAUCUGACGUUUCUAAUAACACGAUUUUUUUCGAGAUAAAGAGAAAGAGAAAGAGAGUGAAAUAGAAAGGGGGAGAAACAGAGAAGGGGAGGGAAGAGAGAGAGAGAGAGAGAGAGAGAGAGAGAGAGAGAGAGAAGAAGGAAGGGCGCAUGAAGAAAAAAGGGGAUGAUAGAGAAGGGUUCGAGGAAAGGAGAAAUGGUAUCAUUGAAAAUAGCGGGCAAUCCGUUAUCAUAUAGUGGGGGAGGAAUAAAAGUGUGAGGGAGAAAAAGAGAGAGAGAGAGAGAGAGAGGGAGAAGGGGGGAGGAAGAGUGGUAUAGCAUAGAAGGUUAACAAAAUCAAUAACAGUGGGUGGUUGAAACAGGGCUGGCCACCCCGGCCAGCCGUCCCGGACUUGCUGGGGGGCUAGGUCGGCCACCGACCUUUAUCCAGGCCAACUGCAUCAUCCCCAUUUCCACGCGUGCAUGCGCGCGCUCCAACUUUACUAUUCUCAUGGCCAGCCCUUUUUCCACGAGCUAAAGUAGUAACUCAGGUAAUAAACAACUUAACGAAGCACACAAGAUAAAAGUUAAUAUCAACGAACGGGGCUAAGUUGAGAAAGAAAGCAAAAAUAGAAAAAAAAUGAACAAAGAAAUGAGAGAGAGAGAGAGAGAGAGAGAGAGAAAGAGAGAAGAAAAAAAAUGAUAAAACAGAUACAAAUCGAAAUGUAACUUUUCUAAUAUAUGAAAUAUUCUUUCAACAUUAUGUGAAGCGAAAUGUUAAAAAUUCAAACAAGGAAACAAAUGAAGAAUCCAAAUUCUUUUUAAGCCCCCCCCCCGCCUCUCUCUCUCUCUCUCUCUCUCUCUCUAUUUGUUACUUAUAGAAACGUUAAAGAAAAUUCGCCUUCCGGGAAGAAAAUUGGAGCGAGCUAAGCGAGAGACCAAAGUCCCUCUAAUCUUUAUAUAUAGAUUCGCGAGAGCUACUUGUAGACGAGCGAGCUCAAAAGCGAACGGUUGUUUUUAACUUCGCUAUAUGAGGAAUAUAUGAUAACGAUCGAACAAACACGUAUGUGUGCGAUUUAUUUCAAUAAAAAAAAAAAAAAAAAAAAAAAAAAAAAAAAAAAAAAAAAAACAAAAAACAAAAAACAAAAAAAAAAGAAGAAAACAACUUCACCUUCCUACAUCCAAAAAAAAAAAAAAAAAAGAAAGAAAAAAAUAUUCAACGAAUCAAUGAAAAAUGACGGAAAUUUAUAGACGAGCGAAAUAUCAUUGAAAUUGAUUUUUUAAAUAUCUAAAAGUACCUAUCUACGUCGGUCGUUGACGUCACACGUUCUUUUUGUUAGAUAUUCAAGAUGGCUGCGUCAUCGACGAUCGCCGUUUACAAAGAGAUAUAAUCGUCGUUUAAAUAAAUAUAUACGCAUGUACAUUCGAAUAUUUUGUAAGAAUCGAGAAACCGAUUAUCCUGAAAUGAAAUAUAGGAAGGAGGAUGAAACCCAAGUUAGAACACUCUGAGAGUGUUUCUAUUUGCGGAAAUUAACGUGUCGCGCGUGUAGUAUGACUAGCGUGCUUAGCAAUUUAGGCCAACACCGACGUGCAGUCGUCCUUGCGAAGCAAUGUCGUCCUGCCAACUGACCGAAACGUACACGUACAGAGAAACAGUAAGAGAAAGAGAGACAGAGA